UACGGAGGGGACUAGCGUUGUUCGGAAUUACUGGGCGUAAAGCGCACGUAGGCGGCUUUGUAAGUCAGGGGUGAAAUCCCGGGGCUCAACCUCGGAACUGCCUUUGAUACUGCAUAUCUCGAGUCCGGAAGAGGUGAGUGGAAUUCCUAGUGUAGAGGUGAAAUUCGUAGAUAUUAGGAAGAACACCAGUGGCGAAGGCGGCUCACUGGACCGGUACUGACGCUGAGGUGCGAAAGCGUGGGGAGCAAACAGG
rnacentral:rRNA from 1 species